rnacentral:rRNA from 1 species
UUAAUACCUCAUAGUAUUUCGGAUCGCAUGAUUUGAUUAUUAAAGUUCCAACGGUAAAAGAUGAGUAUGCGUCCCAUUAGCUAGAUGGUAAGGUAACGGCUUACCAUGGCUACGAUGGGUAGGGGUCCUGAGAGGGAGAUCCCCCACACUGGUACUGAGACACGGACCAGACUCCUACGGGAGGCAGCAGUGAGGAAUAUUGGACAAUGGGCGCAAGCCUGAUCCAGCCAUGCCGCGUGCAGGAAGAAGGUCCUAUGGAUUGUAAACUGCUUUUAUACAGGAAGAAACACUCCCUCGUGAGGGAACUUGACGGUACUGUAUGAAUAAGGACCGGCUAACUCCGUG